AGUGAACGCUGGCGGUAGGCCUAACACAUGCAAGUCGAGCGGACGCACAGUAAGCGCUUGCCCCUACGGGUGGCGACGGGCGGACGAGUGAGGAAUACAUCGGCAUCUUCUUUUUCGUGGGGGACAACGGAAGGACACUGACGCUACUACCGCAUACGACCUACGGGUGAAAUCAGGGGAUCUUCGGACCUUUCCUGUUUCAAUGAGACGAUGCUGCAUUAGCUAGUUGGCGGGGUAAAGGCACACCAAGGCGACGAUACGUAGCUGACCUGAGAGGAUGAUCAGCCACACUGGAACUGAGACACGGUCCAGACUCCUACGGGAGGCAGCAGUAGGGAAUAUUCGGCAAUGGGCGAAAGCCUGACGCAGCAAUGCCGCGUGGGUGAAGAAGGUCUUCGGAUUGUAAAGCCCUUUUAUUAGGAAAGAACAGCUGUGGGAUAAAACGUCGCUGUUUUGACGGUACCCAAUCAGAAAGCCCCGGCUAACUUCGUG
rnacentral:rRNA from 1 species